rnacentral:rRNA from 1 species
AACGAACGCUGGCGGCAGGCUUAACACAUGCAAGUCGAGCGCCCCGCAAGGGGAGCGGCAGACGGGUGAGUAACGCGUGGGAAUCUACCCAUCUCUACGGAAUAACGCAUGGAAACGUGUGCUAAUACCGUAUACGUCCUUCGGGAGAAAGAUUUAUCGGAGAUGGAUGAGCCCGCGUUGGAUUAGCUAGUUGGUGGGGUAAAGGCCUACCAAGGCGACGAUCCAUAGCUGGUCUGAGAGGAUGAUCAGCCACACUGGGCCUGAGACACGGCCCAGACUCCUACGGGAGGGAGCAGUGGGGAAUAUUGGACAAUGGGCGCAAGCCUGAUCCAGCCAUGCCGCGUGAGUGAUGAAGGCCCUAGGGUUGUAAAGCUCUUUCACCGGUGAAGAUAAUGACGGUAACCGGAGAAGAAGCCCCGGCUAACUUCGUGCCAGCAGCCGCAGUAACAC